rnacentral:lncRNA from 1 species
UUAAGAAAAUAAAUUGUUCAUAACAUAAGCGAAAUCCAUAACACGAUUCAACCAGCCCAAAACUAGGGUGUCACGGAGUACAUGAGCGUCUAGAGAAAUAACAUAGUCUACUACAAUGUUUACUGAAUACAACUUAAACAUAACUAGAAUAGAGAAGGAGAAUCAAGAUCUGCGAGCGCCAUGCAUAUACCUCAACAAUCUCCCAAGCCUGCAACCUCGAUCAGUGACUACCAUUGGGACUGAAAGUACCUGGAUCUACUCACAAAGUACAGGGGGUAACAUGAGUACACCAACCCAGUAAGUAACAAGUCCAAUCUAUGGACUGAUAGGUAGUGAUGAACUCAACUUCAUCAACAUAACAGAAAUAAUAUGCAUAAACAUAGGCAUGUUUUCAAUUAAAUAAACAACUUGAAUACUAAAACAGAGCAAGUAUGAAAAAGGUAAAUAAGUGUAAAUCUACUACAUCUACGUGCCAAUGCACAUGCAUUAUGAAAUGCACCAUACUGAGUGCCUCGUGUGCCCACAAUCUCAAAUGCUCGUCCACUUAGUACUGUAUAUUGCUCAUACGGCCCAGAAAAGAUCCAUCCCGGAAUAUAUACGUCUCAAAUAGCAAUCAUCCAGUAUUGAGAAAGGCCAAUCAAGCCUAUGAAGAAGAUCUUUCUCCAGCUUAUGAAGGAAGGAAGCAAGUGUAGCUUUGAAAGCAGCAAGGAGGCAUUAGGGGAAACCUAGAUUCAAGGCCGGAAGUAUUGGAAACAUACUCGAAAAUACCCUUUCUCUAGCGGCUCUUGGCUUAUUUCUUUACAAUCAGUCCAUGCCAGUAAUUGCUCCUCGCUUUCGAAUAGCUAGAGCACCGACAGAUAGAGCGAAGAAUCCAUAAGGAGAAGAGCCAAGGCUUGUCGUAGAUAAGAGUGUUUUAUGAUAAGUUUGAGUUUUAUAUCUUAUUUGCGAGAAUUUCUUCUCUCCGGUCUUGUCUCCUUACUAAGAGGCUGCAUACAACUGUCUUACAGAUCGAGUCAAGCACGAGAUGGGUAUUUACUUAUUCUUUUUAGCAUGUUCUAGCUAAAAGGUAUUUGCGAUUGAAUUUGUUACGGUAGAUGGCCUAGAAUUCAGCCACAUUUUUGGUUGUACAAUCCAAAUUCUCAAAUAAAGCAGACACCCAUCCGCAUUCAUUUUAACAAAAAAGACAAUAAGGGGAAACCAUCUAACAAAAAUAUUCAUUCUCGCUCAUCCACGGGUUUUUCCCAAGACAAAACCUACUCCUAACAAGUUGUUGGAUCGAAGUAGUAUAUCAUACAUCUACCCGCCAGCAGUAGAGAGGGUUUGAUUACUGUUAUACGUGAUGUGGCAAAAAAACUAAUUCAACGAGAUAUGUUUGCAUGUCAAGAGUUCAUCCCGUGAUACUUCUGGCAGCCAUCAUUGCAAGGUCGAAGAGAUUACUGUUCCGAUGAUAUCUUAAUAUAAGAAAAGAAGAUUUAAUAAGAAAAUCCAAUUUCCUUUUUCGGAUAAAGGUUUAAUUAAGAAUUCUAUGUGGUCCAGUGGAUGGAUUAAACUAUUGAACGCACCCUUACUGCUGGGUGGGACUGUGCCUCCGAAUUGUACGUGGGACGAGUUUUGCCUCAUACAACUCGGGCCGAAGACCGUGGGAAGUUAAGAAGAUAUGGGGAAACCUAUCAGCUACCGAGAUAAUAAUAAUAAUAAUAACAACCUCACAACCACUCAGUAUUGUAUAUGGCUCACAAGGCCAAGGGAAGAUCCAUCCCAAAAUAUAUACACAUCACAGACCAUCAGUCUCCAGUACCAAAGAACAGGACAAUCCAGUCUCAUGGAGAAGAUCUAUCUCCAUACAUCCAUCCCUAAAUAUAAUCAACACUCCCAUUGUGGGUGUGCAGGCCCUGUAGGGGAUCCUACGUCCCAAGCGCUAUAACAAGCCAACGAAGGCAUAAUCAAUAAUCCCCUACGGCAUGCAGCCUGACCCAUAACUGUCACUCAUAAUCAGGCUCUCGACCUUACUCAAUCAUUACUAUCCAGUCUCUCCCAUGCUACAAUGCCAUGAAAACUAGCCCGGAACAAUAAUAUGAUAUGCAAACAAAAACAACAGAGACUAAGAUGUGAUAUGAAAUGCAUAAACAUGAUUGAGUACAGAAUAUUAAUGAAUCAUCGAGAUGACAACAAGAAAACGACCACUAGGGGUCCCAAAAGUAUCGGCAUAAAUCCCUAGUAUGAUAACUAGCAUGAUUUAUAGCCAUUUACUUUACCACAUGAAGAAACACAUAUAUCAACAAGAUAGAAUUUACUAAUCGAUGUCAUGGAAUAAAUCGGGUCACAAUUUUCACGGUGCACGGCUGCACGCCCGUCAUAUGGCAUGUGUGUCACCUCAAUACCACCAUAUAGUUCGAGGUUUCAAACCCUCAUAACCGAGUUUGGAAACGUAAAUUACCUCAAAUCAAGCCAAAUCCUACUCCGCUACGCCUUUGCCUUCGAAAUCUACCUCCAAACGUCCUUAAUCUAACAAAAAGCAAUACAACGCAAUCAAUAUGGGCCAAGGAAUCAAUUCCAAAUGAAAAAUUAGUAAUUCAAUUCAAAAUCCCAAAAUUCACCCAACCCCCUCCCCCCGAGGCCCACGUCCCGAAAUCCGAUAAAAAUCACAAGCCUAGAAACUCCUUCCACCACGAGUCCAUACAUACUAGAUUUAUUAAAAUCCGACUCCAUUUGACCCCUCAAACCCUCAAUCAAAACUCUCCAAAAUCCCAUACCCCAACCUCUCAUUUCACCCUUAAUCACCAGUAGUUACAUGAUUAAACCACGAAAAACUACUAUAAUCACGAGUAUUAGGGCUCAAGUUACUCACCUCAGUGGAAUACCCCUUGAAUCCCUCUUUAAAUGGCUCCUAAAAGUUCCAAAUCCGGAUGAAAAAUGGUGAAGAAUGCCCAAAAUUUGCGAAGGGUCCUUUUUAUACAUUCUGCCCAGCACUUAUGCAUCUUCGUCCAAAUUUAUGCACCUACGGUCCAAACACCGCAGCUGCGCCUUUCACUUAAAUCCCUAGCUUCCGCACCUGCUCCCCAGGCCUCGCACCCGUUGGCUCGCAGAUACGGUCCAACAUCCGCUCUUGCUGUCAUUUUUUGCUUAUAUGGUCCAUUUCAGCUUCUGCGGACCUUGCACAUGUGGUCCCUAAUCCGCAGGUGCGGAAAUGAUAGAAGUAGCAGCUUCAGCUACACAAACUAACUUUAACCUUUUCGUUAACCAUCCAAAUUCAUCCCGAGGCCCUCAGGACCUCAACCAAAAAUACGAAUAAGUCAUAUACCACUAUUCAAACUUAUUCUUAGAAACACUCCAAACAACAUCAAAACACCAAAUCACUCUCGGAUUCAAACCAUAGAACUUUUAAACUUCCGAAUUCCACAAACAAUGUCGAAACCUAUCAAACCUCAUUCGAAUGACCUGAAAGUUUACACACGUGUCAUAAAUGACACUACGAACUUAUUCCAAUUUCCAGAAUUUAAUUCCAACCCCGAUAUCAGAAUUUCCACUACCGACCGAGAAACGCCAAAUUUUUAAUUUCGCCAAUUCAAGCCUAAAUCUACCACAAACCUCCAAAUUACAUUCCGAACAUGCUUCUAAGUCAAAAAUCACCUGAUGGAGCUAACCAAAUUAAAAAUUCCAAAUAUGAGAUCGAAUUAUAAAAGUUAGAGCUUGGUCAAACCUUUCAAAUUUAAAGCUUCAAGCUGAGAAUUGUUCUUCCCAAAUCUAUUCUGAUUAUCCUGAAAAUCAAAACCGAUGAUUUACAUAAGUCAUAAUACAUCAUACGAGGCUAGUCAUGCCCGAGAAUUGAUAAGUGAAGUGUAAAUGCUCAAAAUGACAGGUCGGGUCGUUACAUAUAUCUAUCAAAUAAAAUAUCUUUAAGUCUAGUUUCAAUGCCUUAAAAUAUUUGUCAUUUGGAUAAUUUUACAGAAAGUUAUGGAAAUUUAAUCGAACACUUUCUUAGUUGCACGCCCAGCUGCGCGCUGAGAUUGUCAGAUGCGCAACAACGCACUAAAGACGGAUUUUCUGCGUUGUAUACGUGUCCACCUGCACGCUCACUUGCCCAUGUGCGCGGGCCUUAAAAUAUUUGUCAUUUGGAUAAUUUUACAGAAAGUUAUGGAAAUUUAAUCGAACACUUUCUUAGUUGCACGCCCAGCUGCGCGCUGAGAUUGUCAGAUGCGCAACAACGCACUAAAGACGGAUUUUCUGCGUUGUAUACGUGUCCACCUGCACGCUCACUUGCCCAUGUGCGCUGCCCGCGCACAUGGGAAACCCUAUAAAUACCCCUAAGGUUGGGGGGAGUGGAUAACUCAUUUCUUUGAACUUGCUCUAGCAAAGGGAAUCCGUCUUAUACAUCCCUUCCAUGAACCAAGGUAAUAUUUUUGGAGUAUUUUAAGACAAUUACUACUCCUAAACGCUUAUAUUAGCAUGGAUUAACCUUGGUAAUCUAUAAAUUUUCAUUCAAAUUCCCAAACUAGUUAAAAACACUACAAGUUGGGAUUUAUAGGAUUCUCUACCAAAGGUAUGUCUAUAGUUUCUAAAAAAUUUAUGGUGAUUAUUUAUGUAUGAAACAUGUGUUAGGACUUAUGGGUGAUGAUUGGAAGCCAUAAGUACCUAACUUAAGUUGUGUUGGUAUUGUAGAGAUUACAACAUUGUUUAAUUAAAGAGAUUGAUUGGUUGGGAGUGAAUUGUUGGAUAAGCAUGUGCUAAUGGAGGUUGUGGAUGUCCUAAGGAUAAUUGUAAGGUGGAUCAUUGAUGUGGAAGGUGGUUGUUAGGUGAAGAAAUUUCAUUGAAGGGGGCUGUGGAUAAAUAUGCAUAUAAGGUGUUGUAGACAAAUAUGCACAUUAGGUGUUUGAUAAAAAUCCUAGAUGAUAUUAUUGUUACAAUUGUGUUGCAUUCUUAAAGAUUAAAGUUGUUUCAUAUGGUGGAUUAUUAUACCCCAUUUUAAUAUUGGUGAUUCCUAAAUUAAUUAUUAAUUAAAAAGUCGCCACCUAAUCAUUUUAAAGGUAAAUUAGGACACCAAUUUUAACUAAAUAAAUCACGUUAAACUUUGUUAGAGUUUACCAAAUAUGUGAGAUUCUAAGGUAAGGGUACAAAUUAACUUAAGUGGAAAGUGUGAUGCGCCUCUCAAGAUUCGCAUAAGACGUGGUUACCUUCGGACUUAGUGUGAUCUAACUAAAGCUUUGUAAGACCAUUAGACUACAAUAAUUAAAAUAUUUCACCAAUAUGUUGUACGUCUUUUUGAAGACUCAAAUUUUGAUUUUGAGAUUUUAACUCCAAAAGGACACUGGACCAAAAAAGGAUUUAAUUAAGAAAUCGUAGAGGUCGAAGCUUGAAGUUAAGAAAAGUUAAGAACGCAAAUGCAUUUUUUAUUCGUUUAAAAGAUAUAAUAGAUAAACAAAGCAUGAUAUAGGUUUAAAAGAUAGUUAGAUUAAGUAUUAUAAGGAAAAUACUUAGUAGGAAAAAACUUCUAAUUGGACUAAAACUAGGACUAGCCCAUAUUGAUUUAACCAAUAUUCAAUGGAACUAAUUUCAUUAGAAUUAUUUGACAACCAGGCGUUAGUAGAAUUACCAGUCCGAUUUUUAACUAUAUUCGUUACCCUUACAUAUGCAUGCAAAAACUAAUAAAGAAUAAUUGUAAAUAAAAUAUAUAUAAUAAGAAAGCAGUUAACAGAAAACGAAAAGCCGAAUAACAAUGAUAAUCCAUCACAUUUUUAGGGAUGGCCAAAAUUAACUUUGGCAUUUUUCUUGUCUCUACCCAACACGAAUAAUCAAGUCUACCAAAGAGAAAUGUUGCAUAGGAAGUGCAGUGGUGAUGACUUCAUGGCGACAACGAGUCUCGCAUUGAGACUCAAAGUUGCUCCAAAGGGUACAUAUGAACAAAAGAAGAUAUGAAAAUAAAAAUUAGCGGAGUCAGUUUCAUAUUUAAUUGUAUGAUAAAAUACAAAAACAGCAAGAGGGGUUGCUCUGAUGGUAAGCAACUACCACUUUCAACCAAGAGGUUGUGAGUCUCCUCAAGAGCAAGGUGGGAAGUUCUUGGAGGGAAUGAUGCCGGGGAUCUAUUUGGAAACAGCCUAACUCUCUAACCCAGGGUAGGAGUAAGGUCUGCGUACACACGGCCCUCCCCAGAUCCUACUAAAUUGGAUUAUACUGGGUUGUUGUUGUUGUUGAUAAAAUACACAUAACCAGGUCCAAAAGUAUGAAAAGGACAUCGCAAUAUUUUUAAAAAGAACAGCUAACAGAAACUUACAAUUUUCAAUGAACUCUUAAAGUAGAGCUACUAAACAUAUGGACAGAAGAUUUAAAAUAGUUAUUUGACCUGUCUGAAAGCUUAUACAUUCAAAUUCAAAAGGUUCUUGAUUUUUUGAAAUAAUACUACCCCAUUUGGCACAAAUUUAAGCAAACAACGAUAUUAGCUACAAAAUCUAAACAUGUGUACAUGAUUAUAUUCAAUUUCACGACUUAAAAGAAUAAUGGAUCUCAUGUGCUUAAAUACUACUAUUAUCAACUUAUAUCUCCUAAACAAGUCAAGCCCUUUUUAACAGACAACAAGAAAAGAAGCUAAAGCUAUUUUCUAUUAUUAUUUGAGCAAACCAAACAAGAGUCUUGUAGAUGUAGUUUCUUGUACCAACUUAUAUAAAAUACAUCUAGUAUUAUAGCAGACACAGCAAACCAAACUUCCUAUACCUGAUACAAGUCUUAAAUACAAAAUAUCUUUACCAACAUACCUGUCUUCCUACCUUAUGGGCAUGCUUUUAAAUGGACAUUUAAGAUACACACUACUGCAAGAAAUUUAUUAUCAAUCUCUAAGAGAGAUAGCAAGACGACUUAAAGAACACAACUAAAAUAUUUUGUCAUAUGUCAGAAUACUUGCCAAAGUUUUUAAAUAGUCAUACCAUGUAUACACUCAUUUUAUAAAAGCUAAAACAAGAAAACUUAAGAAUCUUCAUAUCAACAGUGAAAUCCUAAGUCAUGGUAUCUAACAAACAAAUUUCUUUUAAUAACUCUCAGAAUCUUUAAAGCAUGAGACCAUACCAAGUUUCUUAACUCAAUGUCUUUUCAAACUAUACCAAUGAGUUCCUAAGGGCAUGAUAUCUACAACAGUAGAAUAAGUUUUGUAUUCUUAAUCUUUUUUAACUUAAACAAUAAGCACACAGGAGUCAUUUGGACAUGUUAAUGCAUUUUUUCCAUUCAGGUGCAUGUGUAUAUAAACUGACAAAACAUUUUCUUUAAAACACAUAUAAAUAGAAAUAUAAACUAAGCGAGUAAUCAUCUCCUAUAGUCAUAUUAACUACAACAUCAAAACUCGGACAAAAUCAUUGCUGCGACUGUUAUUAUUAACAACAAAUGAACAUAGGAAAAACUCGAAGACAAACCUUAUGCGGUGCAGUGAACAGGACGUUGAGAAGUUCCAGAUCUACUCCCUCACGGACGAGAUCGAAUUUAAAACUAGUUUGAGUGAACUGAAUCGAGAGAUCACAGAGGUCUAACUUUUCAAAGUAUUUUUUGACGGAAACAAUAUAGAUUUCGAUUAUGGUUAAGUUGUCUAUCUUACCGAUUCCCAAAAAGAUUAUCUGGCUGAAGGUUUUUUAGGAGUAUUUAUAGGCGAAAUCAUUCUACGAUUCGCUUUUUAAGUGGGAUUUGAAAUUCAAAAGAAAGGGGUCACGGGUUCGGCUUCAGUCCUUGAAUUGUGGCCGUUUGAGAAUCAAACCUCUGAAAAAUGGAAGAAAAAAAAAUUGAUUUAUUUAAAGUUCUCUGGGCUUGACCAAAUCUUGUAAUAGAGAUGGGAGAGGAUGGCGUUGGAGAGACGCGUAUAGAGUUAUCAAGGUUUGCACGAAAAUGAUGAAACACUACUGACUUGGAUUUGAAAAACUUUGGAGCUUUGCUAAAAUUGGCCAUGGGAGAUAAGAGGAAUAGGGGCGAGUGACUGUUGGAGAGAAGAGGAACUACGGUUAGGCUUAGUGGGGCUGGCAGAUUUAGAUUAUAGGAAUGUUGGGUUUGUGGAUAUUAUUAUUGGGCUAAUGUGGAGUGGGC